UAUCAACAAACAUGGAGCCUUGCACAAGGAAUGCUAUUGACUAUGUGGGAUUCGGGAUGCUCUCCCACUGGCAUCAUAUGCAGAUCAGUGGUCACAAGAACGUACACAUCAUUAAUGUCAGCAAUAUAUAUCUCCGACUUCAAACACACAGCUUGCAAAAUCGCUGAAUAUUGCACAAAAGCAGCUUCGUUACAAACUUCCAGCAACUCGAAAUCCACAAGCAGUCUCGUUCCCCACCAACUUUGACUUCGCAGCGAAGGCAUGUUUUUUUUGGGAAACCGUUAACAUCUCACAACUAAACGUAUACUACGGAGAUUGACAAGUUGAAAAAUAAAUUACUGUAAUCACUUCCAAUUUGCGCACUACGUUAAAAUCCAGUUCCAUUUUGUCUUUAUUGUUGAAAUGCUACUCUACACAUUCGUGACGUCACGCGUUAACUCGUCUAUAGCGGUUGGCGUGUUGUUGGAAGUACAUGUACAUGUCGAAUGUGUUAUUGUAAAAACUAUUGGUAUUGUGUUUUUAGUGCAGACAUUGUAUUUAAGUUUCGAUUUCUAGCUUAAAUUUAUAUAUUUUGUUCAAUAAUUUGAGUUUAAAUGUGAUUGUUUGUUGCUUACUUACGAACUAUUUUUUAUGUGUAAAUAUGCAUAGACGCUAGUGGAUAUGUAAUCAGGUUACCAUAUUUACAACAAUAAAAUUUAACGGUU